CAAUUUAUUAUUUAGUCAAACUGACAGUUGUAGAGUUUGACAUAUUAUUCAUAAACAUAACUAAUUGAUUAAUGAUUAAUUAAAUAAUUAUUUAAAUAAAAGUUUAAUAUUUAUUUUUUAAAUAAUAUAUUUUUAAAGUUUACUUUGUAUUCGUUAAAAUGGUUGAAGAAUUAAAGAAGUACAUGAACACGUUACUAAACAGAGUUCAUGGAUUGCAUUGCAUAUUAAUUUCGGAUAGGGAUGGUGUCCCAGUUGUUAA